UGGGGAAUUGUUCACAAUGGGCGCAAGCCUGAUGACGCAACGCCGCGUGGAGGAUGAAGGUCUUCGGAUUGUAAACUCCUGUUGCUCGGGACGAAUGGCUCCAACCUAAUACGUUGGAGUGUGACGGUACCGAGUGAGGAAGCCCCGGCUAACUCUGUGCCAGCAGCCGCGGUAAUACAGAGGGGGCAAGCGUUGUUCGGAAUUACUGGGCGUAAAGGGCGCGUAGGCGGCCUUCUAAGUCGAACGUGAAAUCCCCGGGCUCAACCCGGGAACUGCGUCCGAUACUGGAAGGCUUGAAUCCGGGAGAGGGAUGCGGAAUUCCAGGUGUAGCGGUGAAAUGCGUAGAUAUCUGGAGGAACACCGGUGGCGAAGGCGGCAUCCUGGACCGGCAUUGACGCUGAGGCGCGAAAGCUAGGGGAGCGAAACGGGAUUAGAUACCCCGGUAGUCCUAGCCCUAAACGAUGAAUGCUUGGUGUGGCGGGUAUCGAUCCCUGCCGUGCCGAAGCUAACG
rnacentral:rRNA from 1 species